rnacentral:rRNA from 1 species
UGGGGAAUUUUGGACAAUGGGGGAAACCCUGACCCAGCCAUCCCGCGUGUGCGAUGAAGGCCUUCGGGUUGUAAAGCACUUUUGGCAUGAAAGAAACGUCAUGGGUUAAUACCCCGUGAAACUGACGGUACCUGCAGAAUAAGCACCGGCUAACUACGUGCCAGCAGCCGCGGUAAUACGUAGGGUGCAAGCGUUAAUCGGAAUUACUGGGCGUAAAGCGUGCGCAGGCGGUUCGGAAAGAAAGAUGUGAAAUCCCAGAGCUCAACUUUGGAACUGCAUUUUUAACUACCGGGCUAGAGUGUGUCAGAGGGAGGUGGAAUUCCGCGUGUAGCAGUGAAAUGCGUAGAUAUGCGGAGGAACACCGAUGGCGAAGGCAGCCGCCUGGGAUAACACUGACGCUCAUGCACGAAAGCGUGGGGAGCAAACAGG